GCAAAGGGUUCCUCUAUAAUUGGAGAGAUGUUACAAUUAUAGCAAAGCCAAAAGGUUUCAUUUCAUCUCCAAAAGUUGCUUUGUUAUAUAUAUAUAUAUAUUCUCUGUAAUAUUUCAUUGGUAAGUUCCUUUUUUAUAUUCGAUAUUCCAUGAGCAGAGUUAUUCCCGCAACAGAUAUCAAAAGCAAUUUUCUUUUUUGAGACUGAAAUGACUCGAUGCUCUCCGUCUGCUUCUGCUUUGGAGAACUAGAUAGUUUUGUGAUGGUGUGUAUGCACUUUCCAUCUUUGCUUGUGAGUUGCAAAGUUGUCCUUUGAACUAAUGCAAGUCCUCUUAGCAGUAGAAUCAGUCAGUAGUUUUCUUCAUUCUUAUCCUCCUAACCUUAUCCCGGAUAGUUUCCCAAUAGCUAAGCUGUUAAUUCAAUAGUAAUCAAUUAAUAGUUUUAACAGAGGAAAGGAAAUUUUUGACCAGAACUCUGAAAGUCAUUAAAAGAAUCCAUUUUUAUGAACCCCACAUCGACAGAGUUAAGAUCUCGUUGGCUGGUGUGGGCUCGCCCUCGCCUGCAAUCAGAAACAGGACUGGCUAUGCAUUAUGACGUAAAUCCAGUCUCGUUUAAGUGCUAUCUUCACUCUUUCAAUUUUCAUUUUGCAUAGGCAAAAGCUAAAAUGGAGGAAAUGUAUUUCUAUUUCAAUGGGUUUGCAGAACGAGACGGCAGAUUUCUUCUCCGUAAGUGGGCAGAACAAGCUGGGACGGGCUAGUACCAAGGUCCAAGGAAGCAAGGAUUAUGAUUAUUUUGAAGCGGGGAUGUGAUGAAGUGUCACGAAUGAUUGAGAUUUCUGAGGCAGCUAACUGUUCUAUAGGCUUUAUCUGUCAACUGCAAUACUUUACUUGGGGCCAGGGACCAAACAUACGUAAGGGCAAUUACUGCAGGCACAGGCUGUAGGAAUCCAAAUAAGAUUUCCUAGCUAGCUUUGUUGGAUAUUAUAGUUUCUCCUCCAAGCAACUUGCUUUCUUGAAGAUUCUUGAAUAACCCCUAUGGUCUUCAUGUUCUUCCAUGAACUCAUCAUUGAACUUCUUGAAACUGGCCAUGAUUGCUGGCAUGUCUUCCUCAGAUGGUAAAAUGGUUGUUCUCAAGUGAAAGACCCCUUCUUUUUGUCCAAAUCCCGAACCAGGAACAGUGGAAAUGCCAGUGGCUUCCAAAAGCUUGAGACAGUAGAAAACAUCAGGAACUUUUCCAGCCUUUUUGGCAGCCUCUAUUGCUUUAGGUGGCAACCGUAUUUGAGGAAAUGAAUACAUGGCACCUUCUGUGAAAUUGCAAACUACAUUUCUGCAGCUGUUGAAUCCAUCUGUCAUAAUCCUUGCUCUUCUCCUCAGUGAUUCAAGGAUUCCUUUGCUCUCCCUAAUAAACUGUUCAUAUGAAAUAUCUCCAGGUUUAGGUGGGUUGACCAUCAAACCCAUAAAUAUCUGUGCAGGGACAUUAGGACUGAGAGAUAUGGAUGCAACCUUAUAAAUCUCAUCCACUGUCUGUGCAGGAAUGUUGGUCAUCUCAAAGUAUCCACCUCGCUGCCCACAUUCACCCCAAUAUCCUUUGGACACAGUGUGGAAAGAAACAAGUUGGAUUUCCUUGCUUAUUGGUGGCCCCAUAUCCAUCAAAACCUUUCUAGCACUAAUAAAGGGUCGUUCAUCCUGAUAAAUGUUCUGCUGAUAAACUUCAUCUCCAAGAAGGGCCAAGUUUUCUUGAUAACAGAAGCGCAAUAUUUCCCUUAAAUUAGCUUCACUAAGACACUGACCAGUGGGGUUGCCUGGGUUGAUAAUGACCAUUGCUCUUACCUGAUCAUUUUCCAAUACAUAUGAGAUUUAGUUGGGAAUACCGAAAAUUACAAGAAAAGUUGGCUCAGCAAUUCAAUUAUGAAAGCAGGUGCCAAAAGAAAGAUAAUAUCAAAUGGAAGAAAAUGAUAGAAGAUUUUCCACAAGAUAAUACAAAUGUUUAUGAGGUAAUUGUUAAUAGAACCAAAAAAGAAACUACAAAUCCCAAGACUUAAAAGUAAUAUAUCACCCCUUUCAUCCAUCCAGACCCAGUCAUCCAGUUUUCAAGUUUCAUCUAUAGGUUCCUAAUAGAUUUCUCACACUUAUAUAUGCAAGAAAGAGUCAAAGCACACUGACAGUUAUUCCUUUACAGCGCGCUUGAAAAACUGCAUGCCGCAGAUCAUUAAUAUCAAGACCCCAAUUUGCUGUCUCUUCUAGGUAAUAUGGUACAAGGGAACCACCAAACAGAGAUAUUGCAGCAGAGUAAAGUGGGUACUGUGGAACUGGAACCAAAACCCCAUCACCGUCACCACGAAUUAUUGUAUUCAAGAUCUGCAUGACACCCUUACUUGCUCCAUCAGUGAGAAAUAUGAGUUCUGGAUCACUGUCAAUGGAGUAGGAAUCAGUGAAUCCCUUAAGCUCAUAACUUAGCCACCAUAGCUAAGUGGUAGUUUGCGCAAAAGAAAAAAAGGAAGAAAGCUAGAGAGUAAAGAAGCAUGAAAUCGAGCAUUAUCACCUUGGAUAUCCAUCACGCCUUCCAAUGAACUCUGCCACCUCCUUCCUAAUUCCUGGGAUACCUCGGGAGUCACUGUAAGCACCUAGACCACCAGAAGUCAGUGAAAGAUAAUGUUUAGCUCUUGCAAUUGCAUCCGCGGGGAAUAUGAGUCCUACAUUAGGAUCAUCUAGUAGAAAUGGAGCUUGGCAGAGAGCAACCACCUGACGAGGAAAUGUGAGUGGCUUCUGUCCUAGAGCAUGAGGAUUGCCAACAUUUGUGAAAAUAAUCUACAGAUAUAAAGUUGAAGUAGUGAGGCACAGAUGACCAUAUAAACGGGCUACCAACAUCUCAUUAUUAAAAUUUAUCAAAUUUUCUUUUUACUAAUCAACCUUUAAAGAAGUAGAAUCAUAACAAUGUCUUUUCCCAUCUUUGCAAGGAACGAAAUAGCAUACAAAGUUCACAUUCUAUGACACUUCCACAAUAUCAGAAUUUUGGCUAAAAAAUUGGAGUUUCCACUGCUUUGCCGGUGUGAGGAAAUAUAGAAUUAGUGAUAUUUUUCUUUUGGGUGGCUAUGCUAAAAAUGCAUGAAAUUGAGUUUCCUGCCAAAGUGGCAAUUUAUGUUGUAUAUUAGUAAGAACACCAAUAAAUUACCUGACAGGAAAACCAAAUAUGAUCAAAUCCACGCUUGUGUGAUCCAGUUUCAUACUUUUGCAUGUUAGAAAGUAUCCAGAUUUUCUUAUCAAAAGUGUUACAAACAUAUCAAGCCACAAAUCCUUGCUCGAUAAAUAUUUAAAAGAAAAAUGUACAAUACAAACACAAGAUGCAUCAAAAAAGAAAUAACUGGAGGAAUCCACCAUUACUUUAAAGACAUUGAACAAGACACCCAAAUUUCUCUGUGUUAGAAUAAAUUAAACUCAACAUAAGAGUUUUACAGAAAAUCCAAGAACAAGGAGCUAAUAAUCAUGUCAAAAUAUCUUGUCCUCACAUAAAUCAGUAGAAAUUCAAUAUAUUAUAGUUAAAUGCGAGCUGAAGGAACAUCAAGACAAAGCUUUAAGAACAACAGGGCUGACUAAUUUUUCCAAAGACAACCAAACAAACUUAAUAAGGUGCAAGACGGACUAAAAGAACAAUAUUCCUAGAGAAAGCUCAAGCAGAACAACUCUAGAUAUACCUUCUUUCCUUCCUUCUGGAGCUCAGAAGCUCGAAGAUACAGCUCACCUCUAACAGCAUAUUGAACCUUCUUCACAUUUUCAUUCAACGACUCAUAGUCUAAUGCCUUAGGUGCCAUGAUGUAUAAUAGUCUACCUUCUUAUUGAGAAAACGGGGAAAACAGUAAACUCGGUUCCUAACCUGCAAAAGAGUUAGCUGCGAGUUUUCCAGGGAGCUCUCGUGAGCAGAAGCCAAGUGUUGGUCUAACCCACGAGUGGGAGAAGGUGCAAGUGAAGUGUCAGUCAAUAAAUGUGGGGAUAUUAUAUGGCAGGACAAGAACCAGUGGCAGGUACCAGAACCACUGAAAAAUGACAGACAGAUUAGUUGCGAGUUUCUGUUUAGUUUUAAGGCAAAAGGAUAAACUUGGUGAUACAGGAAGUGUGGUGUAGCUUCAAA
rnacentral:misc_RNA from 1 species